rnacentral:lncRNA from 1 species
GCUCCUUGAGCACUUGGUCUUACUUCAACCUCAUUUUGAUUAAUCUCUCAGGAUACUCUUAAUUGUUCAUGUGUUUCAGCCAGUAAAAAGACUAGAGCUUGGGAAAACAAGGUUGGAAGCUAAUGACAGUUACUGCUUUGUGCCAAAAUUUCAUGUGUUAAAUGCAUAAGAAAAAAAAAAGUAACUUCAAAUCAAGAUUACUUUGCUGAACUACAACUAUUCUGUUUUUCAUAGACCUUGCAAUCUGGAAGCAAGUUCAAGAACUGAAUGCACAAAAACUCUGACCUGUGAAACAGAAGCAGUGUCUUUCUGACUUCUGGUAAGGACUCUAUACCAUGGCUCAGGGAUUCUAGAUUGGGGCUGCUGUGGGCUAACAGGUCCCCUUCCAGCUCUACACUAUGCCGAGAGGCAUUCUGGGCUGCCCCUACGUUGACUCCAGGUUAAGCAGGUGAGACCAGGUGAGGUUGCCUCCUUCAUUUCUGCACAUUUGCCAUCAGCACUGAAGAGCCAUAGUUAGAGAAGUUUGUUAAUGAUACAGAGAAAAGAG